rnacentral:rRNA from 1 species
GGCUGCAGUCGAGGAUCUUCCGCAAUGGGCGCAAGCCUGACGGGGCGACGCCGCGCGAACGAUGAAGGCCUUCGGGUUGUAAAGUUCUGUCACGAGGGAAGAACCGCUGGGGGUUAAUAGCCUUCCAGCCUGACGUUACCUCGGGAGGAAGCCAUGGCUAACUCCGUGCCAGCAGCCGCGGUAAUACGGAGAUGGCAAGCGUUGUUCGGAUUUACUGGGCAUAAAGCGCACGUAGGCGGAGUCAUAAGUCGGUUGUGAAAUCCCGGGGCUCAACCCCGGAACAGCGGCCGAUACUGUGAUUCUGGAGCACGAAAGGGGAGAGUGGAACUUCUGGUGGAGCGGUGAAAUGCGUAGAUAUCAGAAGGAACACCGGUGGCGAAAGCGACUCUCUGGUUCGUUGCUGACGCUGAGGUGCGAAAGCUAGGGGAGCAAACGGGAUUAGAUACCCCGGUAGUCCUAGCCGUAAACGAUGGGCACUAAGUAGGGGAGGUUCUGGCGCCUUCCCUGCCGGAGCUAAUGUAUUAAGUGCCCCGCCUGGGGAGUAUGCUCGCAAGGGUAAAACUCAAAGGAAUUGACGGGGGCUCACACAA